rnacentral:rRNA from 1 species
GGUAAUACGGAGGGUGCAAGCGUUAAUCGGAAUUACUGGGCGUAAAGCGCACGCAGUCGGUUUGUUAAGUCAGAUGUGUAAUCCCCGCGCUUACGUUGGGAACUGCAUUUGAAACUGGCAAGCUAGAGUCUUGUAUAUGGGGGUAGAAUUCCAGGUGUAUUGGUGAAAUGCGUAGAGAUCUGGAGGAAUACCGGUGGCGAAGGCGGCCACCUNGGACAAAGACUGACGCUCAGGUGCGAAAGCGUGGGGAGCAAACAGGAUUAGAUACCCUGGUAGUCCACGCUGUAAACGAUGUCGACUUGGAGGUUGUGCCCUUGAGGCGUGGCUUCCGGAGCUAACGCGUUAAGUCGACCGCCUGGGGAGUACGGCCGCAAGGUUAAAACUCAAAUGAAUUGACGGGGGCCCGCACAAGCGGUGGAGCAUGUGGUUUAAUUCGAUGCAACGCGAAGAACCUUACCUACUCUUGACAUCCACGGGAAUUCGCCAGAGAUGGCUUAGUGCCUUCGGGAACCGUGAGACAGGUGCUGCAUGGCUGUCGUCAGCUCGUGUUGUGAAAUGUUGGGUUAA